AUUGAACGCUGGCGGCAUGCUUUACACAUGCAAGUCGAACGGUAACAGGUCUUCGGAUGCUGACGAGUGGCGAACGGGUGAGUAAUACAUCGGAACGUGCCUAGUAGUGGGGGAUAACUACUCGGAAGAGUAGCUAAUACCGCAUGAGAUCUACGGAUGAAAGCAGGUGACCUUCGGGCCUUGUGCUACUAGAGCGGCUGAUGGCAGAUUAGGUAGUUGGUGGGGUAAAGGCUUACCAAGCCUGCGAUCUGUAGCUGGUCUGAGAGGACGACCAGCCACACGGGGACUGAGACACGGCCCAGACUCCUACGGGGGGAAGCAGUGGGGAAUUUUGGACAAGGGGCGAAAGCCUGAUCCAGCAAUGCCGCGUGCAGGAUGAAGGCCCUCGGGUUGUAAACUGCUUUUGUACGGAACGAAAAGCCUGGGGCUAAUAUCCCCGGGUCAUGACGGUACCGUAAGAAUAAGCACCGGCUAACUACGUGCCAGCCGCCGCCGUAA
rnacentral:rRNA from 1 species